rnacentral:rRNA from 1 species
UGGGGAAUAUUGGACAAUGGGCGAAAGCCUGAUCCAGCCAUGCCGCGUGUGUGAAGAAGGUCUUCGGAUUGUAAAGCACUCUAAGUUGGGAGGAAGGGCAGUAAGCGAAUACCUUGCUGUUUUGACGUUACCGACAGAAUAAGCACCGGCUAACUCUGUGCCAGCAGCCGCGGUAAUACAGAGGGUGCAAGCGUUAAUCGGAAUUACUGGGCGUAAAGCGCGCGUAGGUGGUUCGUUAAGUUGAAUGUGAAAGCCCCGGGCUCAACCUGGGAACUGCAGCCAAAGCUGGCGAGCUGGAGUAGGGCGGAGGGUGGUGGAAUUUCCUGUGUAGCGGUGAAAUGCGUAGAUAUAGGAAGGAACACCAGUGGCGAAGGAGACCACCUGGGCUCAUACUGACACUGAGGUGCGAAAGCGUGGGGAGCAAACAGG